UGCCCCAUGGCUGAGUUAGUUACAGCGUCCGACUGUUAUGGUCGUCGAUAAAUUGACGUUAACAAUCGGAAGGUCGUGAGUUCGAGCCUCACUGGGGCAG